rnacentral:lncRNA from 1 species
CAAACUAUAUAUAUGUGUGUAUAUGUACAAAAAAUAAUAUACAUACAUACAAAAAAUAUUACAUAUAUACAAAAAAUAAAACAUACAUACAAAAAAAAUUACAUAUAUAUACAAAAAAAUAUAUACAAAAAAUUACAUAUAUACAUACUAUAUAUACUAGAAAUAUAUACAAAAAAUUACAUAUAUAUAAAAAAAAUAUAUACAUACUAUAUAUAAUAUACAUACUAUAUAUAAUACUACAAAUCAAAACACCAUAUAUAUAAUAUACAUAUACACAAAAAAAAUUACAUAUAUAUACAUAAAAAUAUAUAAAAAAAUAAUACUACAAAUCAAAACACCAUAUAUACAUACAUAUAUAUAUAUGUAUAUAUAUGGUGUUUUUAUUUGUAAUAUUAUUUUUUGUAUAUAUUUUUAUGUAUAUAUAUGUAAUAUUUUUUGUGUGUAUAUAUAUAUAUUUCUCUGGUCUAGUGUAUAUAAAUACGUAAUUAAUCAAUGGCGUCGUUCUCGAUCUAUACUUAGCACACAGCCGGCCGGAGAAGAUCGCGCG